rnacentral:rRNA from 1 species
UACUGAGGGGGCAAGCGUUAUUCGGAAUUAUUGGGCGUAAAGGGCGCGUAGGCGGCCUGGCAAGUGGAUGGUGAAAUCCCUCGGCUUAACCGAGGAACUGCCAUCCAGACUGCUUGGCUUGAGACCGGGAGAGGUGAGUGGAAUUCCCAGUGUAGCGGUGAAAUGCGUAGAUAUUGGGAGGAACACCAGUGGCGAAGGCGGCUCACUGGUCCGGUACUGACGCUGAGGUGCGAAAGCGUGGGGAGCAAACAGG